rnacentral:rRNA from 1 species
CCUACGGGCGGCAGCAGUGGGGAAUAUUGGGCAAUGGGCGCAAGCCUGACCCAGUAACGCCGCGUGAAGGAAGAAGGCUUUCGGGUUGUAAACUUCUUUUCUCAGGGACGAAGCAAGUGACGGUACCUGAGGAAUAAGCCACGGCUAACUACGUGCCAGCAGCCGCGGUAAUACGUAGGUGGCAAGCGUUAUCCGGAUUUACUGGGUGUAAAGGGCGUGUAGGCGGGACUGCAAGUCAGAUGUGAAAACCAUGGGCUCAACCUAUGGCCUGCAUUUGAAACUGUAGUUCUUGAGUACUGGGGAGGCAGACGGAAUUCGUGGGGUAGCGGGUAAAUGGAGAGAUAUAAGGAGGAACACCGGGG